UAGGUGUCUUUUUUUAUUUUAAAGUUUUUUAAUAUUUAAUUGUAGUAUUGAGUAUAUAUAUUUAAAUAAAAUUUAUAUGAAUUUUUUUUUUAGAUUUUUAUUUAGUAGUUUAUAAAUUUAAUUAUUAAAGUAAUUUAGAAUUAGUAAUUUAAUUUAAUAUAUGCGAAUUUUGUGCCAGCAGCAGCGGUUAUACAAUUUAUAUAAUAUAUAUUUAUUAGUUUUAAUUAAUUAAUUAUUAAUAAAAAAAAUAUGAUUUAAAUUUUAAGGUGAAAUUUUAAUUAAAAUAUUAUUUUUAAAAAAAAUAUUAUGAAGUUAGGAAAUUUUUAUUUAAACUAGGAUUAGAUACCCUAUUAUUUUUAAUGUAAAAUAUUAAGCUAAGUGAUUAAUAGUUAAGUUCUUUAAAGCUAAACAAUUUGGCGGUAUUUUAAACUUUUCAGAGGAACCUGUUCUAUAAUUGAUAUUCCACGAUUGAAUAUACUUUAAUUAUAAAUUUUUAUAUCAUCGUUUUUAAAUAUUUUUUAAGAAUUUAAUAUUUAAAAUUUCUUUAUAAAGAAAUUAAUCAGAUCAAGGUGAAGUUAUAUUAAAGAAGAAAUGGGUUACGAUUAAAUUUUAUUAAUGGAUUUAAAUAUUUUAAAAAUUUUAUGAAAUUGGAUUUGAAAGUAAUUAAAUUAACUUAUUUUUAAUGAUUUAGCACUAAAAUAUGUACAUAUUGCCCGUCGCUUUCAUUUAAAUUGGAAUAAGUCGUAACAUAGUAGGUUUACUGGAAAGUGAUUCUAGAAUGU
rnacentral:ncRNA from 1 species